rnacentral:lncRNA from 1 species
ACAGUGUUGACAAGAUUUACUCUCAGAUCUACAUCAGUGUGUUGAUUCUGAGAGUGGCCAAGAGCCAAGAGGGAGGGGAAGGGUCGGGGUGACUCCGGGUGGGUGGGUGGGUGGGGAGCUCCGCCAUGAGUUUCCUGUGCUGCUGGAACCAAAGGCAAUCCUCCACCAGCCAGAGGGAGUUCUUCCCAGGCCCUGGGAGGACACAAUGGAGUGCUACUAGCUUCCAUUCCCUCAGACAGCCCAAAAGCUACAAAGCCUUCAGAAAGAUCCACAAAGCUGCUAGCCUGGGUCAUGUUGCCACGGUUCAGCGCAGACUGGAACUUGGGAAAAAUGGCAUUAAUGACCGAGACAAGAAUAACAGAACUAUGUUACACUUUGCUUGUGUGCAUGGCCAUCCGGACGUAGUUGCCCUUCUAAUAGAGCAGAAUUGUGACAUUGAUCUCCGCGACAGUGACAACAGCAC